UACGUAGGGUGCGAGCGUUGUCCGGAAUUAUUGGGCGUAAAGGGCUCGUAGGCGGCCAACUAAGUCGGAUGUGAAAUCCCCAGGCUUAACCUGGGAACUGCAUCCGAUACUGGAUGGCUUGAAUCCGGGAGAGGGAUGCAGAAUUCCAGGUGAUAGCGGUGAAAUGCGUAGAUAUCUGGAGGAAUACCGGUGGCGAAGGCGGCAUCCUGGACCGACAUUGACGCUGAACGGCGAAAGCUGAGGGGAGCAAACGGG
rnacentral:rRNA from 1 species